rnacentral:lncRNA from 1 species
UCAAGGACUCACAGGCUACUACUCUACUGCCCUUUGCCUCCACUUCAGCAGGAUAAAGAAGCCCAGGUCCCUCAACCUCUCCUCAAGAGCGCGGUUAUUCCCCCCUAGUCGCAGGACUYGACGUUUCUCUUGUAAAUCUUCAUGARGUGCCUGUUGUCCAAAUCACCGAAGUUUCYCAAGGUCGUUCAGGACUGAAGUUUCUCUGUGUCAAAAAAAACAAACACAAAGCAGCACCAAUGGGGAAAGGCUAAGCAGGUGUGGGCUGAUUUUAUGGGAGGGGGUAAGGAUGGUGGAAGACACAAGCUUAGAAGGGGGAAAAGAAAAAAAAAACAGCUUUCAUCUCCUGGCAAGACUCUCUCCAGAUCAUGGCACAGCGCCACUCUGUCACCCUGCGCACAAAUCACAAAAGGGAACAAUUGGUCUUGCUUUUCCUUUAGUACCAUCAAGUCCGAGCUGGGAGCCUUUGCACUGCAGCACCUACACAAUGACAGCAGCAGGCCACUUUCAUUUCUACUGCAUUUCUAGGUACGGAGACCAGCUGAGGGAGCAGCUCCACGGGAAAGGGCUUCUGACACUCUCAGAUCAACUCGGCACUGCAACAGCCAUCAACCCAACGCCAGACUGCUGCUGCGCCAGCUAGUCUACAAACACACUGCCUCUGCCCCACACAGCUGGCUCUUCUGCUACAUACAAUCAAGUGCCAGCAAGAAGAGAUGCCUGCAGGACACCCACCACCUGCACACUCCCCAGGCACUGCUCUGCUCGCUGCCUUCCAUUGGCUCCUCAACUCAGACACACAGGCAAGCUCUUGCGGUAACACCACAAGGUGGCCAAGGCACUCUAGCCUCACAAGGCCUGUGCAAAUGAGCAGCACAAGUCAGGCACAGAGCUGGCUCCUUGCGCGAUGCUGCUCUUUUCAGAGGGAAGGAUCCUGCUUUCUUUGGGCACAGCAGGCUGCUGCUUUCCACCACCAUCCCCUCAGGAACCUCCAGCCAAGGAUGGGCGGAUGGGGAUUCUGUUUAGUAAUGCAAAAGUUACACAUACAAUGCAGAAUCAUUUGAGAGUCCUGAAGGCCUCCUGAGCCCAAAGUAACCUCCCUUCCUUUCCUUUAGUUACUUGCACAAGGAGCCCCUCUGAAGGGGAAAAGGGUGCAGAGGCUUUGACAUGAGACCCAAGCAAUGAGACUGCCCCAGACAGCAGGUCUGCUGAAAUGACAGCUGUCCUGGCUGCACAGGCUCUGCAGCAGCCCUCCGGGCUCCACAGCUGGCUUCACAGAGCACUGAGGGCUGGGUGCCACGGGCAACCUGGCCCUGGGCACAUCUUCACCCCUCACAGAGCCAGGAGCCCAAGAGCUCUGAGAUUUCCUCAGAUCAAGGUACGGACGCUUUGGGG